AUAAGUGCAAAUGUGUAAUACAGAGUAUUYAGUCUUGAUAAAAGCAAGUGAUUAUUUGGAUCUGUUUCUUUUCUAGUUGAACAAUCAUUUUUAACACUGUGGCAAGGCUACCAUGAGACAAUUUCUUAAUUAUAUUCAGUGCCAAAAUCCAGAUGGACUGCAGUGGAAUUCCGAUGUCCAAACAGCAGUGCUGAGAGCCCACAUGUGAUUGACAACAUGAGCAUGUGCCUYUGUGUCUUUCUUGGAUCGGCUGCUGUGUUUGGUAUCAAGUCUUCUAAAGUGCUGCUGUAGAACCAGUUCAAACAACCCCACACUCAGCAGAUUUUUCCCUCUGGCCUUGUCCCYGCAGCAGGGUCACUGUGGCUCAGGAUAGAAAGGAGUCUAUCCAAAACACCCUUCCAGUGAUUCCCAGCUGCUCUCUAGUACUUUGAGACCACCAGCAGCUGGUGAGGCUGGGAAAGGACCUCCCAGGCCAUGCCYAGAACAGUGAAAUUGCAAAACUGUSUCCAGCAGCAGUKCAACACUUCUUCAGAUGCAUGGAAACKGCUCAGUCCAAGCAAAGGAGGCCAUCUUCAAGAACUGAGCCAGCCUACUGCUUAUAAUGAAACAUACCCAACAAACGGAUCUUUUGAGAGUUUUACACCUUGUGGCUGGAUUAGCAGGUUACUUAUUUCUUAGUGAUGUAAAAAGUAUUUUUGCUAGAAGGUGUGAUUAGGGAGGAUAGCAGCAAAGGUGGCAGGAAAACCUSRUUGUUGUAUUCAUCAGUGAGGACUGGAGGACUUCUUGGUUUGGUGUUUUUUUUCACAUAUCCUUUUGAAUUAUGGGGUUACUGCUUCUGAAGCUGUAGAGCUCAAGGUGGUUAUUACAUAAGUAAAAAGAAAAKGUGUCAUUUUUUCCAUGCUGCAAUGUUUAAAAGUUAAUUCUCUUAUAGAUCUCCUGUGCUCUGCCAUAUAAAUAUUAAAAAAGCAGCAGCUUAUACAUUACAAAUAAGAACCAUAUGAAAACAGGGACUGUAAUCAGUGAGAAUCAAAAACAUCUCAGAUAAUUCUUCAGUACUUCUAAAUAAUCAMAUAAUUUUAYGGUGAGUUAUACUUGCACRUACAUUUCAAGAURGAUUUUUAAGGCAUUUCAGAGAUGCYCACUAGACUCUAUCUGCUCUCUGAUAAACUGACACCAAAUUCCUUAUAAUUCUAAGGGAAGGAGCAAAAAGGGAUAGAGAAGAGCUUGUUUUCUGAGUUGCUUUCAGAAGACCCCUACCCUUGUGACCUGUGGCAGAGGAUCAGAGUGGUUUUGUGUCUUGCACUCGGUGAACUGUGCUUGUAAAUACUUGGGAAUUGCCAUAUAUCUACAGCUACUGGGGGUUUAUCUAUGUUAGAGAAACUCCACUGUCCUGUCUGCAGUUAUUUUAUGCCCRUAAUUUACUGAUACAGUAUAACACAUACCCACUCCAAUCAGGAUUUUUGAUGUAUCUCUUGUGCUCUGAAAAACCAAGCAGGCCUUCAGAGAGAGAAGCGAGAUUUCCACAAGAAAAGACCAUCAGGUGCUGAYGUUCUGUAAAGUCACGUCUGAUUGUUCUUUGCACCUCUUCCUCUCAGCCAAAGAAGACUAUUAUUCCCUGCAGGCCUGUAAAAAAAUUACUCCAUGCUGCUGAAUYGUAGAAAUUGUCUAGAUGAUCUAUUCAAUACAGCCCUAUGAAUCCUCCUCCCUCUGGCAGAGCCCUUUUCCAUGACAUGGGGAUUCAUUUCUGGUUUUCAGCCASCAGAAUGAUCCCAGUAAGAGGGACAGUUUUCACACCUGUUAUUUUCUAAUACUCAGAAAGAUAACACAAUUAGAUCUUA